GGAUUCGCGGGCCGGCCGGGCAGGCCUCACCCGCGGCACGGAGCGCGCCCGGAUCGCGGACCCCGCGCGCCCCGCACCCGCACCUCCGCACCCCGCGCCCCUCACCUCCGCACCUCGUGCCCCGCACCGCACCCCGCACCCCGUGCGCCGCCCCCUGCACGCCCGCACCCCCUUGCCCCGCACCCGCGUGCCCCGCACCUCCGCACCCCGUGCGCCGCCCCCUGCGCGCUCCGCACCCCCGCACCCGCGCGCCCCGCACCUCUGCACCCCACGCUCCACUCCCCGCGCGCCCCGUACCCCGUGCGCCGCCCCCUCGCGCGCCCCGCACUGGUGCUCUGCCCCCCACACCCCGUACCCCGUGCGCCGCGCCCCUCACCUCGGUGCCCCGCACCCCCGACGCCGUCCCCCGCGUGCCCCGCCCUCGCGCCCCCCCCACUAUCCGCACCCACACCCCGCGCGCCCCGCAUCCGCGCGUCGCGGUGCUCUCGGGUCCCAGCGGGCGCACGAAGCGAGGGGCGCCUGGGCGUCCACCACCACAGGCCCGUGCUCCUCGCCCCGCUUCCCCCCUUCGCCUCCCUCCCCCUCCACGCGCCCGGGAGCCCGGACGGUCCUUCAGGGUCCACGAAUUCAGCUCACCUCCGAAAGGCCUGCGGCAUCUUCUUUCUUUUCCAUUCCUACUAGCAAAAGCCUACUUUGUCCACCCAUUCGCCUCCCCAACAAAUGUGACCCGAGGACCUACUAUGUGACCCUGUUCUACGCUCUUGCAAUAUAAUGCUGAAUUUAAGAAGGCAAGAUUAAGAACCUCCUGAGGUCAACCAGCUAGUUCUGUGCGUCUCUCCUCACCUUCCAGCUACUCAGACAUCCUCUUAACUUCCUAGUUUUACCUCCUAUAAUUUCCCCUAAAUCCAGCUUCCCGACUGAUUUUUUUCCUGAUAAUCCUUUCAUCAUGCAUACUAUUCCAUUGCUCAAAAAAACCCCUUCUGGUGAUCUAGUACCCUAUUUAAUAUUAUGUCCCCUGUUCCUAAAGUCAUCCAGAACCUUUUCACAAGCAGGAUUCCAUCCCCAUGCGAAGCCAUUGUUCUGUAGUUUCCAUCAGUGUGAAUUAUAGAGGGUUGAAUUGUGCCUCCCAAAGAUUUGUUCAAGCCUGAACUCCUAGAAUCUGUGAAUGUGACCUUUGUUGGAAACAGGGCCUUUGCAGGCAUAACCAAGUUAAGGUAAGGUCAAACUGGGAUGAGCCUUGAAUCCAGUGGUUGGUAUCUUUAUAAGAGAAAGAAUCAGGAGUUUUGGAACCCCACACACAGAGAAGAUGGCCAUGUGAAGAUGGAGGUGGAGAUCAAAGUAAUGGGAGCCAUAGGCCAAGGACUGCCAAGAAUUUCCAGAAGCUCUGAGAAGCUAGAAAGAGGCAAGAAAAGAUUCUUUCCUAGAGCCUUUGGAGGUGUUAACCUCGAUUUUGGACUUGCAGCUUCCAAAACCGUGAGAGAAUAAAUAUCUGUUGUAUUAUGCCA
rnacentral:lncRNA from 12 species